rnacentral:rRNA from 1 species
UACAGAGGGUGCGAGCGUUAAUCGGAAUUACUGGGCGUAAAGCGCACGUAGGUGGCGACGUAAGUCGGGUGUGAAAGCCCCGGGCUCAACCUGGGAAUUGCAUUCGAGACUGCAUUGCUGGAGUACGGAAGAGGAGGGCGGAAUUCCCGGUGUAGCAGUGAAAUGCGUAGAGAUGCGGAGGAACACCGAUGGCGAAGGCAGCCCCCUGGGCCAAUACUGACGCUCAGGCACGAAAGCGUGGGGAGCAAACAGG